rnacentral:rRNA from 1 species
AUUGAACGCUGGCGGCAGGCCUAACACAUGCAAGUCGAGCGAGCGGCGGACGGGUGAGUAAUGUAUGGGGACUGCCCGAUAGCGGGGGAUAACUACUGGAAACGGUGGCUAAUACCGCAUACUAUCGGAUAACCCAUAUGGGAUUAGCUAGUAGGUGGGGUAAAGGCUCACCUAGGCGACGAUCUCUAGCUGGGCUGCGAGGAUGAGCAGCCAAACGGGGACUGAGACACGGCCCAGAGUCCUACGGAGGCAGCAGUGGGGAAGAUUGCACAAUGGGCGCAAGCCUGAUGCAGACAUGCCGCGUGUAGGAAGAAGGCCUUAGUGUUGUAAAGUACUUUCAGCGGGGAGGCGUUACCCGCAGAAGAAGCACCGGCUAACUCCGUGCCAGCAGCCGCGGUAAUUC